AAGACGCUAGUAAAAUUAUUACACUACCUUGUCGAGGUAGUAUUGUGGGUUAAACCCCCGCGCAUCUUA
rnacentral:tRNA from 1 species